rnacentral:lncRNA from 1 species
AAUUUGUUUGGCCUUUUGUCUGGAAUACAUAUGAACUCUGAAUUCAAAGCAGGGUGCAUUAAGUAAUAUUUGUUUAUCAUGUUACAGCUUUUCUAUUAAUGUGGCACCAGUUAACCUGUUUAAGAUGGACUACCCCCUCAAAACUGACUAAUAAUUAAGAGUCUAAAUGGAGAGAUGUCUUUUCAAUAAAUUCAUAGAUCAAUGACCUUUGUUCCUGUGAUUCUUUUUCUGCUUCUCUAUCAUAGAAAUAUCUCUGUCCACAUGAGCUUUGAUUUAGUGACCUCAGCAGAAUUCCAAAGAGUAAAAAAUUAUGAGAAGGUGUAAGAUAAUUAAAUUAUAACAUCAGUAUAUAAUAGAAAGAGAGCACCAAGCAAGUACAACAUGAUCUCCAAUAACAUGAGAAUAUCAUUUAUUUACAUCACAGACUCAAUACAUGUCAUCUUCUUAAUUUAGAAACUGAGCAAAAUCCUUAGUUCCCCUUGUUGACACUGUUUUCACUGGGUCAUCUUCACUUGAUUGGUGGUUGAUUUAUUCCUUUGGUAGAACUCAGAAGUAGGUUAACCUCGAUAUUGACAUAGCUCUGACCAAAGGAUCAAGCAAUUCUUGUUUCUUUUCUUAGGGAGUCCAAGAAUUCAGGUUUAAAACCAGAAAAGAGUCCCUGAAGAUACAGAAGAGAUUAGACAGAACACAGGCAGCUGUUUUCAUAGUGGAAUUCUUUCCCUGCUAGAACUGAAGAACACACUGUACUUUUUCAGGAAUAGAGCUCACAAACAUCCCCUAAAUCUAAUGCUCUGGCCACAUUGUGGUUUUGAAAAGACAGGCAUGUUAUUGUUAUCUCCUAAAACCUCCUAGGACUUUUGUUCUCAGGGAUGCUUCAUAUAGCAGCUUCAGGGGAUUAUAUUACUCUCCAAUGCAGCAGAUCCUACCUAAAAGAUGAAAAGAGAACCCUUCAAAGAUGUGCAAUUGAAGAUUGAGACCCUGACCCAUGAAUAAUGAACUGGAGGAAUUCCUUGGGGACUGGAACGACCUCCAGCAAUUGAUGCAGAGUGAAAGGAGCAGAACCAGGAGAACAUUAUACACUGUGGUACAAUCGAAUGUAAUGGACUUCUCCAUUAGUGGCAACGCAGUGAUCCUGAACAACUGGGAGGGAUCUAUGAGAAAGAACACUAUCCACAUCCAGAGGAAGAACUGUGGGAGUAGAAACACAGAAGAAAAACAACUGCUUGACUACAUGGGUCAAGGGGAUAUGGUUGGGGAUGUUGACUCUAAAUGAACAUCCUAGUGCAAACAAUAACAACAUGGAAAUAGGUUCUAAUCAAGGACACAAGUAAUACCCAAUGAAAUUGCACUUCAGCUGCAGGAAGGGGGGGCGGGGAGGGAGGGAAAGAAUAUGAUUCUUAUAACUGAGGAAUAAUGUUCUAAAUUUACUAAAUAAAAUUAAAAUUUAAAG